UACAGAGGGUGCAAGCGUUAAUCGGAGUUACUGGGCGUAAAGGGUGCGUAGGCGGGUCUUUAAGUCAGGGGUGAAAUCCUGGAGCUCAACUCCAGAACUGCCUUUGAUACUGAAGAUCUUGAGUCCGGGAGAGGUGAGUGGAACUGCGAGUGUAGAGGUGAAAUUCGUAGAUAUUCGCAAGAACACCAGUGGCGAAGGCGGCUCACUGGCCCGGUACUGACGCUGAGGCACGAAAGCGUGGGGAGCAAACAGG
rnacentral:rRNA from 1 species